rnacentral:tRNA from 1 species
CGCGGAGUGGCCCAACUGGAAGGGCAUCCGUCUCAUACACGGAAGGGUGGGAGUUCGAGUCUCCCCUCCGCGA